GUCGUCGCGAGGCGAGGUGGGGAGGAAGCCGGAGGCAAAGCUCGGAGCUGACGAACAGGAACCGGAUAUGAGGCCGGUGCGGUGGGGUAACUGGGCCAUGGACCGGGACGCCCGAUAU
rfam:Sphingopyxis bauzanensis strain DSM 22271 NODE_2_length_1017853_cov_50.6276, whole genome shotgun sequence.